rnacentral:lncRNA from 1 species
CUUUUUUUUUUUUUUUUUUUUUUUUUUUUUUUUUUUUUUUUUUUUUUUUUUUUUUUUUUUUUUUUUUUUUUUUUUUUUUUUUUUUUUUUUUUUUUUUUUUUUUUUUUUUUUUUUUUUUUUUUUUUUUUUUUUUUUUUUUUUUUUUUUUUUUUUUUUUUUUUUUUUUUUUUUUUUUUUUUUUUAUUUUUUUUCUUUUUUUUUUAUUGUCUGUUUUUUUCUUUUAUCCUGUUUUUCUUCCUUUUCAAGAUCUUGAAAAGAGAGAGAAAAUGAGAGAGAGAGAAUGAGAAAGAGAAAACGAGGGAAAGAGAAUGAGAGCAAGAGAGAGAGAGAGGAGGAGAAAUUUUUGGAGUUUUUUUAUUUUUAGUGGCUUUGAUAUUGAAAAUACUAUAUAAAGAAUUUUAGAUGAAAUCAGUCAGUUGAUACAAUUAUUGUUGUUAUGUGCUAUUAUCGUAUGAUAAGCGGGUGGGGCUUUUCUUGUUUUCGUAAACAUCAAGAUUUUAUUGGUUGGGUCUAUGAUUCCAGCCUACAUGAUACUCAAAAGGGCCCUGGUUCAUCUGGAAAUGAAAAGUGCUUUAUGAACGUUUGGAUUGGUGCUUCCUUGACUCGGUUUGGUAACUUCAAUUUCUACCCACCUAUAUCGUGUUAAGUCGGAUCACCGACCUAUUUUCAUGGUUGCGACCAAGCUCAAGAAGUCAAAUCUUCCUCAUACCUUUCGCUUUAUGGCUUCAUGGUUGUCACAUGUUGAGUUUAAGCCUUUUUUUGUCGGAAUGGAAUCGGUCUUUUACCUUUAUUCAUCAGAUGUCCAUUCGAGCUACCAAACUGAAAAAAUGAAAUAAGGAAAUUUUUGGCAACAUCCAAACGAAUAGAAGGAGCUUAUCUUUAAACUUGCUGAUGUUUAAGCUCUCGCAGCUCCUCUACUCAUUCAAGACACCACAAUGGACAUUGCAAGUGACCGGAAUACUCAUUUUUUUCACGUAUCCACCUUCCGUAGGCGUGCUCGGAACCACAUUAUUAAGUGAAGGAUGACUGUGGGGUGUGUAUUCAUUAGGUUUGGGAGUCGGUUAAUUUGGUUAAUAACCAUCGGUUAAUGGUCGGGAAGCGCUUUGAUGAUUGAAAUUAAUUAACCAAAUUAACCGACCGAGCAAAAGCCACGGUUAAUCUUACCGACCGAUAACCGACCAAUCAGUUAAAUGAUCGAUUAUUAACAGACUGACUCUCGGUUAACCGUUGUAACCGGCUCUGACCAAUUUAACUCUCUUCUCAUAUUGCAACAAGAUUCUAGGCUCUGGCUCUAGAUCCGUCGUCGAUUCAAGCCUUGGAGACCAUAGCUUCUCUUCUGGAAACAAUCCGGUGCUCUACAACUUGAUCCUUCGGGACUGGAAGCUUUCCGAGACGGCGUUGUUGCGGAUCAGUAAGGAGAGGAGGAAGCUUCAAGCCUAUGGUGUUGCAGAUCGAAGAAUUGAGAGAGUGGAGGAGGAGAGGAUUGGCCGUGGCGACGAAGGAAGCAUGUGGUGUUGCAGAUCGAAGAAUCGAGAGAGUGGAGGAGGAGAGGAGCGCUUGCGGUGACUCGUCGUGGUCGUCGUCGUGACUGCCGGCGAGAUGCUGAAAUUGAAUCGCUUGGAUUGAUAGAGUUGUCGAGAUGGAUUGAUGGAGUUGUCGAGAUGGAUUGAUGGAGAUGGCUCGGAGUUAACCUAAUUUCAGAAUGAGAGGUUGUGAUGGAGUGGGAGGCUGGGAGGGGAGGGAGCGAUUCUGCGAUUGUGGUGAGCAAAGCUUGAUUUCCUAAUUGGGGACCUUGGUUUUUUUAAUUACCGGUUAACGUUGGUUAACUCGAGUUAACCAACGAUUUUACCCUGCUCCAACAAGUACUCCCAACUGUUCCCCGACCGACCCCUACCUCGGUUAAACCGACACUCUAACCGAGUCGAUCAGUUCAUCUGUUUAACCUAUUAACCGAGACUGAUGGCCCACCCUUAGUAUUCAUCCAGCUUGUUGCUGCAAUUAGUGUCGUAUUGAUAUGGUUGAGAGAGGAUAAAAUAUGCUUGAUUUCAAGUUCUCCAACUUGAAAGGUUUAGCUGUUAAAAAUGUAGAGGUCAUGACUGAGUACUGAUUUCCAGCAAGGAGAAGUUGGAUAUUUGCUUGCGAUAAAAAAGAAUUUGGACAGUCUAUCUUAGGCACAAAAUCUAACGGAUGAGAUGGCAACUUUACUUCAGGGGCCUAUUGGUCAUUUUAAAAUUUUCUUGUUUUUCAGUUUAUUUUUCCAUUCUGUUUAAUAUUGGUUCAAGUAAAAUGAUUUCUUGUAAAUUGGGUCUAUUGAGUAACGUGGGUGGGUAGACUUUAUUGCUCCCAUCGAGCUUGACGUGAUAUUUUCUUCUUCGUUUCUUUAACAUGCAUAAAUUGUAUAUAAUACGAAAGGUUGGAAAUAUAUGUGAAGCUCGAGGUUUAUUAUAUAUGUUUCGAGGUUUAUUAUAUAUGUUGAACCUUUUUGCCAAUUGGUUAUUUUUAUCAUGUAGUGCCUUAUCAAGUAAAGGGAAUGGUUGUUUUUAUCUACUGUCACUAGCCAACUUUCUUUCUCAUGUGAUCAAUUAUUUGAUCACGCAUGAAUGACUACAGUACACAAAAGAUAGAAAUAUUAUAAAAACAAAAAACAAAUAUUAAAAAAAAAUACCUAAAAAGCAGGUACAUAACAACAAAAACAAUAACCGUAAAUAUCAAGUACAUGAAAGCGGAUGCUCAAAAUAAGCACGCACACAUUAAAAACUUUGGUACAUACAAGGCAAGAAAAUCGAGAACAUAUUGGAACUCGAGUACCGGAAUUGGUACGGUAUUAAGUACAACGUGAAGAAAUAUCAAGUACAUUAAAAAGCGAGUAUAUAACAAUAGAAAUAAGUACACGAAAACAACUCAGAGAAAUGAUAAUUUGAUUGCCAAAAUUGAGUAUGAUAAAGUAAAAUGCAAGCACGUAGUACAUGAAACAAAUAUGAGUAAGAGUACAUAAAUUUUUUAGUACAAUACAAGACAAAAACUCAAAUACAUAUAAAAACUGGACACUAAAAAAAAUAAUUAAUUAUUCACAAUUUUAAAUAAUAAUAGUCACGAUUUUUAUCAUGAUUAACAGAAGCUAGUCACGAAAAUAAAUCCGUAACUAACCUAACCGAUGCUAGAUGAACUUGUCACGAAUCUGAAUAACCUGUAACUAAGUUGUCACCGAAAUUUUCCGUGACCAACUCAUCACGGAAGAAACCGUGAACAUAUGUGUUUUUGUUUUUGUUUUUUAAAUUAGUGGCACGGAGCCAUAUGCUGUGAUAAUUGAUUUAUUAAUAAAUUAAUCCCACAUCUCCGUGGCUACUAUAUCACCAGAAUUUCCAGAUUCCGGCAACCACAAUUUCCAGAAUCCGGCAAUAAGAUAGAGUUGAUAAUUGCUUUUUUAUUAGAGUAAAAUGUUCUACAUCUAUACAUUAUGAUACCCAUAUCAAAAUUCCAGAAUCCCAAAAUUGAACAUAACGUCAACGAAAGGCACCAUGCAACAAUGGUGACACUAAGGGUUACAACAACCAGCAAAACCGAAACACAGACUGGAAAUGCUACCAAGAGAAGGAUGAGACUAGAUGAUGAGAUUGAGAUUGAGAGAAGAAAAAUGAUAGUAAGAAAUUUUGUUUUCGAGAGAGAUCAAAUGAAGAUGAGAUCUACUUCUAAUUUAAUAUAAUGGAAAUGGAGAUAUGGUUGUUUAAUGGCAAAGAGAGAAGAAAGGAAUAGCCCAUUAAACGAGGAUAGAGUCUGCAUCAUUUCUUUUUUCGACCUUUUCCCACUAAAAUGCUAAUUUUAAAAUUAUAAAUAAAAGUUGGUCACGGUUCCAACAUUUACCGUGAGUAGUUGGUCGCGGUAUUCAACAAUCCAUGACUAGUUAUGGAUUUUUUUUUAUCUAUAAGUAGUUAGUCAUGGUUUUUAAAGCCGUGAUUAAUAAAUCGUGAUUAAUCGUUGAUUUUUUUUGUAGUGCGAGUAUGAGUAUUGAGUAAAACGUCAUGUACAAAAACAAGUACAUCAAAAGCGAGUACAUAAUUAUCAAAACAAGUACUAAAACGAGAGGAAAAGUACAUAAAAAGCGAGUAUAUAAUAAUAGAAACAAGUGCAGUAAAAAUCAAGUGCAUGAAAGGAAAACGAAACUCAAACUAAACACUAAUACAAAAAAAACUUUAGUACGCAAAUAAGUAAAUACAAGAAAAUUAACAUACACAAACGAAUACAUAAGAGUAUAGUGUUUAAACAAAGCGAUUAUACGGAUCAAUACGAUGUUGAGUACAAAACAACAACUUGAGGCUUUAUCCCUCAUUUUUAGAUGAUUUUGUACUAAGUUCUUAUAUGUAUUAGUUUUUAUUAAUGUAAUCCCUCGUGUACUUUGUCUUUGGAUUUAUUUUUAUGCCAUAUCUAUUUAUUUACGCAUUUGUGUAUACUUAUAUUUUUAGAACUUUAUACUCAAAUCAAUUAAUCAAACAAUAAAACUAUUUUCUCUUUACACGAACCAACAUAAUAACCCAUCACCCCAUACAGGGUUGUGAAGGAGGUGCAGUGACCAGAAUUUUCUAGUUGUUGCUUUUCUAUAGUUUGAUAAGGGUAAGCAUCUUGUUCUAGAAUAUAUGUUGUUAGGUUAUAACAAUGCAUCUAGUUGAGCAUGAUUCUUUGGUCAAGUGUUACUGGGAUUCUUUUUGUUCCACAUCAAUGCUCGGAGGUCGAAGAGGCAACGAGGGUGACGAAGAAAUCGGCAUCACCACGUGAGAGAAGAUGAAGAAGAGGUCAGAGAGUGGAGCCGGUGGAAAAGAUAUACUAGAAGAGGUACUUAAAGUUACUUGUACGACAAAACUGCCCUUAUUCAAUUGGACAACCCCUAGAUUAAAAUUUAAAAAUGAACGGACGCGAUUCGUUUGCGGCCAGCAAACACAUAAUAUCAUGGCUGCCUAUCCGGACUCGUCAUAACUGGCGUCAACAUUACGUAGUGUUGUCAAAAAUUAAAAAGGGGAAUAUAUAAUAAUAAUAAUAACAGACGUAAUCUUGUGUAUAUAAUGAUAUUAAAACGUUUUUCAAUCGACAAAGCCAAGUCUGCGGGAGGAACAGCUAAUGGACGAACAGCCUAAGCAUAAGCCGCCUUCUUCGUAUUCUUCAGAUUCUCUGAAUCUCUACCCUUUUUUUUUGUUACGCGGAUUCCCUUCCCUCGUCUGCAAACAAAAAGCUCUUCGUUGACUUUUUAGCAGGCUUUUUUAAAAAACCUUAAUUGAAAAAAUUUGUACAUGGUUGUUGCCUUUGUUGGCGUCAGCAUGACCCAAUGCUGUUGUCAUGUUCAUGAUUGCUCCAACUCACCUGGCUGCGCAUCUGCCUUCUGACCUGACCUGCCCUCCUCCUUUUUUUUAAAUUAUGUUUCCCCAAAAUUAAAUUUAAAUCGUUACAAAAUUGGUCUCUCCUUCUCCUAUAUAUAACGUGGAAGAGCUCCUGCCAAAAAAGUCAUUCAAACUCAAAGCAGAUAAAUUAUCAAAAUAAAAAAGAAAACCCCAGUGCUCUGCCUGCCGUUAAGAAAUUAGUUUAUUGGGUUUGUUGUGUUUAUGAAAGCUGUGUUCCAGAGACUGAUAUCGUCAAGCACCCAGAUUGGCUGUAGGAAGAAAGUUGCAUCUUUUCCAUUAAUCAGAAGCGCUAAUAUGUCUGAAUCCUCUGCCUUUGAUUCUCCGAGAUUGGUGACCAAGAAGGUCCUUGCUAAGCUUCAGCGUGAAGGGGAUGGUGCUUCUGUCAGGAGAAGCAUUGGAAGGUAUAAUAUAAUAUAUCAUGGAUGGAUGGAUGGAUAUACAAUUUUCUUCUUGUCAAAAUUGAAUUAACUGUUUUCGUUUCUGUGGUGAAAUUGAAUGAUUGAAUGUUGAAUUAUUUUGGUUCAGGAGUGAGCUCAGGUCUCUGGACCCUUUCCUCAUGUUGGAUGAGUUUUCAGGUCUGCUUUGCUUAAUUACUUGAAACCAAAUUCCUUGAUAUUUUCUAGAAUUAGGAUGAUGAUGGAUGAUGGAUGGUAUUUAAUUUGUUGUUGCAAAUUGCAAUGCAUGAAGUCUCAGCUCCUGCUGGAUUUCCUGAUCAUCCACACAGAGGUUUUGAGACUGUUACAUACAUGCUGGAGGUACAGACAGUACUGGAGUUAAUUAUUUAUUAUGAAUUGAAGGCUGUUUUUUGUCCUUGGUAGUCUAUUUAUUGAUGUCUGUGAAAUUCGUGGGUGGCACUGGCAGGGAUCAUUCACUCAUCAAGAUUUUUCUGGGCAUAGAGGGACUAUUCAUGCCGGGGAUGUUCAAGUAAAAUAAUUCACUCAAUUACAAUACUACGACGUUUACUUAAUUAGCUAGCUUUACUUGAUCAAAGUCAAAAACUCUUUCUUUUUUUAAAGUAAACAACAACAACAACUUGUGUGUUUUCCUGUUGGGCAGUGGAUGACAGCAGGUAGAGGGAUAGUCCAUUCAGAAAUGCCUGCAGGAGAAGGAGUCCAGAGAGGCCUUCAGCUUUGGAUAAACCUCUCUUCUCAACAUAAAAUGUAUGUUUUUAUUUCCUUUUUUGUUUGUACUUUCCAACUUCACCAUUCCAACAGUUUGUAAUAUGGAACCAACAGGAUUGAGCCAAGGUAUCAGGAACUUCUGAGGCAGGACAUCAAAAGAGCAGAGAAAGACGGGGUUGAAGUCCGAAUCAUAGCAGGGGAAUCAAUGGAAAUCGAGUCUCCAGUUUAUACAAGGACCCCAACAAUGUACCUUGAUUUCACACUGCAACCAAGGUCCCAAAUGCACCAGCCCAUUCCAGAAUUAUGGAACGCAUUCAUUUACGUCAUUGAAGGUGAGGGAGUGUUUGGGAUCCCAAACUCCUCACCAGUUGAAGCACAUCAUACACUCGUUCUAGGCCCUGGUGAAGGAAUGAGCGCCUGGAACAACUCCUCUUCCAAACCCUUGAGGUUUGUCUUGAUUGCAGGCCAGCCACUUAACCAACCAGUGGUGCAGCAUGGUCCUUUUGUCAUGAACACAGAAUCUGAAAUCCACCAAGCAAUUGAAGAUUACCACUACUCCAAAAAUGGGUUUGAAAUGGCGCAGUAUUGGAGUUCCCAAUAGGGAACAAGUAAGUGCUUGGAUCACUCAAAACCAAAUCUCCACAUUCCCUCUCAACUUUGAAGAAGAAAAGAGUAAAGAAUAAAAAUACACAUCCACAAACACUAAAGGCCACACGCAUAUGUGAGUGAUACUCAUUUGUGUUCCAUCAUGUAUUAAUUUAGCUUUUAUCCUCUUCCAACCUUUUACUAUUCCAAAUCAAAAGGUUGAUUAUUGCAUUGUCACACAAAACAAUGAUAAUAAAAAUACUCAAUUCAUAUAAUCCUUAGAAUUAAUUCUUUUCAUAACUAUAGUAGAUGUUUGAACAAGUGAGAACAAAAUAUAAGCUUAAUCUUAAUAGUAAUAUCAACGGAUAAUAGCACUGUGUGUCACUUAAUUAUUACCCAUGUCGCACAUAAACUACUUAACUUUCUACAUUGCACAUAAAGCCACUUAACUUUGCUUAUGCUUGCAACAUCCAAAUUUUCAUUCAAUUUAUGGAUAGACUGAUCGAAUUGAUGAGUUCUUAUUCGAGAUCUUCUGUAUGAAUAACCUCCAACACAUUAAAGAGAACAAUAAUUUAUAAGAACUGACAGAAUAACUUAUUACUUGUUUACAGAAAAGAAUGAUAAAAUAAAAAGGCAAGAAUAGAUUAUAAUCAUGCCUUGGACACUGCUUUCGAAAAAAUAUUUCCCGAAUUUAGAACACCAAUACAACUAAAGGUUAAUCACAAUAUUCACUCAAACUCUAGUGUAGGGCUUGAAUGUUGGAACUUGGAAACUUAUGCUAUUUUGAUUCCGAUUUUGAGAGUGAAAACAAAGUUUUCUGCCCAUAUUAAUCAACUAGGAUUUCCCUUUUUAAAGAGAACGCAUCCACUAACCAACAUCAAAUCCAGAUUCUCCUUUCUGAUGAUCAUCAAUGAUAAGCAGAUAUGGGGAAGGUGGAGUUGAGCUCCCGAUUUCUAGGAAGCCAACCAAAUACUUCUGUUAAGCAUAAGUCUUGAGUAUAUGCGGUAUGUAACUGAUCAUUACUGUUACUUCAAGUGGUUAGAUAAUGGUUACAUCAUCUUGCUGUUGUCCGUUGAUGACAUGUUGAUAGCAAGUUCUAUUGUAAAAGAAGUAAACAAGUUGAAGAAACAGUUAUCUAACAGUUUACUAUUAAGAAUAUAGGAGACGCUAAACAGAUUUUGAGUAUGUGCAUUGAUCAUGAUAGGCAAGUAGGAAAGUUUUAUCUUUCGCAAGUUGAAUAUAUCAAGAAAGUCUUGAAGAGGUUCAAAAUGCAGGAUGCAAAACUAGUAAAGAUUCCUUUGGGUGGCUAUUUCAAGCUAUUUGAGAAGGAUAUGCCUAAUAAUGAUCCAGAACGUGCCCAAAUGCACGAAACACCAUACAUUUUUGUAAUUGAUAGCUUGAUGUAUGGAAUGGUGUGCACAAUACCAGAAAUUGCACAUGUAGUGGGAGUUGUCAAUAGAUUCAUGGGAAAUCGGGGGGAAGCGAUUAAGUACUCCUGAGAUAGUUGAAGAUUACUACUAAAAGGGUCUUGGGCUUUGAGGGCAAAGUAAUGUAGUUAGAAGGAUUUGUCAUCAAGUGACCUUGAUAGAAGAAGAUGUACAACAUGGUAUAUUUUUACUCUUUGAGGUACCAUGGUUUCUUGGGCUUUUAAGUUGCACUGUCUAACACUCAAGCUAAAUAUGUUGCGGUAACGAAGGCCAGCAAAGAGAUGGUAUGGUUUUAGAAUUUCUUUGGUGAAUUGGGGAAGAAGAAAGAGGAUAGCAUAUUGUACAUUAGUCUUAUACACUUGCAAAAAAUUCAGCAUUUCAUUCAAAAUCGAAGCUCAUAUUGAGUUGAUGUAUCACUUUAUGGGUUGAUCUCUUGGAAAGGAAGAUCUUACGGCUUAUGAAGAUUCUAGGAAGUGAGAAUCCUAUGGAUAUGCCGACUAAGGUUGUAAAGUUGGAGAAGUUGACACUGUGUAUGACUUUAACUGGUUUUGUAACUGAAGUUGAAGGUCAGAUGCUGCUUGUAGUAGGAAGACGUUGAACAUGGAGAACCAAUGAGAGGAGUAUGUCUUCAGGUGGGAGAUUGUUGGGUUAUGGUGCCUAAGAAACUGAAGGCUUGGUCCAGUUAGUUUGUUUAGUUAGAUAAAAAUUAAGAUUAAUCUUGUCUAUUCUAUAUAGGAUUAGAAUUAAUAUGGUAGCUCCCUAUAAAUAAUCUAUAUUCAUAUCAUUGUAAUCUGUAUCACAACAAUAGUAGUCGAAAUCCUAACUUGGUUUGUAAAAAAAGAAAUUCUAGCGUGGUAGCGCCCUAGACAUACUCUUCUCGUGAAGAGGAACUAGGUUCUUAAUUUUUCAGUUUAUGAUUGCGUUUCAUUUUUUACAGGAACGACCAGAUCCAGCUCAGAAACUUCCUCAAGAUGGCGACGUUGAAGAAGCUCUGUCUCGCUAACGCCUAACAAUGGCUUCUCUAGACUGAUUCAGACUGUCCUCACCGCUGGAAAAGGAGAUUAGAUAGAAAUCCAUCUUUUAUUCCUCUUCAUUGUUUUUAUGACAAUUUCUUCUUUUCUUUUAUAAUAGAGAACUAUUUAUCACUUUUGUUGGACAUUUCUUGUUUGUUUCCCUCAAGAACUAAUAAUUUUGGUCAAUGGGUGACCACUGAUGAUGUUGAUUCUAUAAGCUUUAGUAUUUAGUCAAAUUCUUGAGUUUUUUUCAACUAGAAAAAAAAAGAAGAGAGGUUACAGUUUCAAUUAUUAAGUUUGAAGAAUUAAAGAAAAAAAACUAGACUACAGAUAUGAAAAGGUAAUUCUGAUAAUUUUUAUUGAUGAAUUUUUUUUUUGUAAUGAGUAAGAUAAUUUUUUAGGUUUUAUAAAUGGGUUUUUGGUUAAAAAUCUCAUUUAGAUAGAGUUUUUGAUGGGUAAUUAUGAAAUUUGACAUAAAGGGUACAUGAUUAAAAAGGUGGGAAAGGAAGAUGCGAAAAGAAGGUAAGAAGGAAUCAAUUCAUGGCAAAAAAGAAAAAUAAAUAAGAGGGAAGAAAGAAGACAUAUAUUGAUGGGAGGCGGAGGUGGGAUAGGGAGGUGAGAGAAAGAUGUAACAACAAAGAAGGGUUUAGCGAAAGGUGNNNNNNNNNNNNNNNNNNNNNNNNNNNNNNNNNNNNNNNNNNNNNNNNNNNNNNNNNNNNNNNNNNNNNNNNNNNNNNNNNNNNNNNNNNNNNNNNNNNNNNNNNNNNNNNNNNNNNNNNNNNNNNNNNNNNNNNNNNNNNNNNNNNNNNNNNNNNNNNNNNNNNNNNNNNNNNNNNNNNNNNNNNNNNNNNNNNNNNNNNNNNNNNNNNNNNNNNNNNNNNNNNNNNNNNNNNNNNNNNNNNNNNNNNNNNNNNNNNNNNNNNNNNNNNNNNNNNNNNNNNNNNNNNNNNNNNNNNNNNNNNNNNNNNNNNNNNNNNNNNNNNNNNNNNNNNNNNNNNNNNNNNNNNNNNNNNNNNNNNNNNNNNNNNNNNNNNNNNNNNNNNNNNNNNNNNNNNNNNNNNNNNNNNNNNNNNNNNNNNNNNNNNNNNNNNNNNNNNNNNNNNNNNNNNNNNNNNNNNNNNNNNNNNNNNNNNNNNNNNNNNNNNNNNNNNNNNNNNNNNNNNNNNNNNNNNNNNNNNNNNNNNNNNNNNNNNNNNNNNNNNNNNNNNNNNNNNNNNNNNNNNNNNNNNNNNNNNNNNNNNNNNNNNNNNNNNNNNNNNNNNNNNNNNNNNNNNNNNNNNNNNNNNNNNNNNNNNNNNNNNNNNNNNNNNNNNNNNNNNNNNNNNNNNNNNNNNNNNNNNNNNNNNNNNNNNNNNNNNNNNNNNNNNNNNNNNNNNNNNNNNNNNNNNNNNNNNNNNNNNNNNNNNNNNNNNNNNNNNNNNNNNNNNNNNNNNNNNNNNNNNNNNNNNNNNNNNNNNNNNNNNNNNNNNAUGGGUUUGUGGUUAAAAAUCUCAUUUAGAUAGAGUUUUUGAUGGGUAAUUAUGAAAUUUGACAUAAAGGGUACAUGAUUAAAAAGGUGGGAAAGGAAGAUGCGAAAAGAAGGUAAGAAGGAAUCAAUUCAUGGCAAAAAAGAAAAAUAAAUAAGAGGGAAGAAAGAAGACAUAUAUUGAUGGGAGGCGGAGGUGGGAUAGGGAGGUGAGAGAAAGAUGUAACAACAAAGAAGGGUUUAGCGAAAGGUGAUAUAAACAAAAUUAAUUUUGUAAGAAAAUAUUUUUUUUAAUGCCAUGUCAACUAGUUUGUAACUUUUAGUGUCCAUGUCAACAAACAAAAUUUUAUAAAGUUACCAAAAUUCAAAAUUUGUGUUACGAAAAGUAUUUCUAAUAGAUUGUGCCAUUUUCGGUAAAGGCUUAAUAGGUUGUGCAUUUAAGAAAAAAAAUAUUAUUGUGUUUCUACAAUUAACAUCAAUUAUCACCAAACCAUUAAAUACUAAAAACCAAUUAAGAUAUAGUCAUGUUACAAAAAAUGACUCUUGUUAUGAUUUUUUUGUUUAUGCAAUGAUAGGAUGAGAUUAAAAGGUUAAUUUCUUUUUCGACAAAACUUGUAAAAUAUUAUUAAACUCAAUUAGAUAUAAUAUCAUCUACAGUUGGUCAAUCAAAAAAAUUGAGGGUCUAUCCACCGAAACAAUCGUGGAGUUCCAAUGAGUCUGAUUAUACGCCAUAACAUGGGUAAGCUUGUUAACUUAUCUCCGGCCAUGACGCCAAUUACCACAAUCAAACUUUGCCAAAAGGCAACGAAUUAUGGACUAAAAUCCAUGUUCGGUAUGAUGAUCUUCCACAUGAUGCAAAGUCUCAACCAUGAUCAAGCUAUCACUUUCAAGAACCACAUUAGGAUACCUAUGUUGCAAGGCCAAUUGUUAGCAAAAUCUUGCCUCGACCGCCUCAGUUAAAGUAGGCUCAUAGCAACCCUACAAUUUCAACAUAUCCGCCAUUAAGUAAUGCCGAACGCCAUCCCAGAUAACCACCCCAAUACCCAUUCUGGAUCCUGUAAUGAUAGUUGCGUUUAAGGUAGUGAAACUGGUGAGUCAACAUGGGAUCGAAAAGGGACCUAGAAUCGUAAUCGUAAAAUCAAAUCGCAAAAUCAUAAAAUUUCACGGUUCUUCAAUAAUACUAAAUAUUCAGAAAUUCACCUUAGCAUAAAGACGUAAGUUCAUUAUCCAAUCUAAAAUUAAAAAUAAAAUCUCAAAUUCACCUUAAUAGGUUCUUCAGUUGCACUACUUUGAGCUGAUUUUCGAGUCUAGGAGACCGGAGACAAAAUCUGUGAACAAAAUUGUACAAUCUUACAACAAAAAACAAAAUACCUUCGAACAAAGAACCUAAACACCAAAAAUCCAAAACUAAUCUAACAAAAACAGAAUUAGAGAAAGGAAUGGGAUGAUGAGCAAAAUCAUGGAAUGGGAUGAUGAAGAAUCAUGGAAUCAAGGAAACAGAGAUACCUUCGAGCCGUAGGAGUGGCUGGAGCGAUGGGGACGACCAAAGAGGCUAUGACGAGGACCAUUGACUCCUGGUUCUGGUCUUCUAGACUUCUGGGGGACGACCGACGGGGGAGACGACAAGAGAGAAGACUGAGGAUCGAGCAGAGAUCGAACGAGCAAUCGACGACUUGCACAAUUUUUUUCAGAAGAUAAAUGAAUUUAAGGUUCGAUUUUUUGCCCAAAAUUGAACUCGGAUUUCCGUUUCGGUUCGAACCGAAGCAUAAAAACCAGCGGUCAGCACAGAGUAGUGGACUCGUGAAUCGUUGUAAACUCGUUCGAUUCCACGAUUUUCACGAUUUUGCGAGCGAUUUCAUGCCAUUAUAAGCCAUUUUGAUUGCGCGUGAAAUCUGACUCGACGGACCUAACAAAACUCGUAAAAUCGUCGAUUCCACUUCCUUCGUUGUGUAUGUACUGAUAUGGGGUUCCUGGUUUAGUGGUUGAACCGGGGUUGGACCGUUUUUAAACCGGGUCGGCCAUUUUAAAUAUUACAUAAAGUUAAAUCGGACCGAAAAAAUAUUGGAUUGAACGAAAUCAAACUGACAGUACAAAUAGUCAAAUUUUGAGAUUUAACCUUUGAAAAUUGAACAAUUUUAAAAAAUUUAUGUACAUUAUGAUGUUAUUCUUUUUUAAGUUUAUGUAAUAUAAUGAUAUUAUCUAUAGUUGAAGUCUUCCACACAUAUAUAUCUAGAAUGCUAAAGAAACCCUAAUGGAUCUUUCAAUCUUUCUUUAAUUGGGCUCCAACUACUCAAUACCCUCUCUCACACUUUUUUUCUCUAUAGAGAAACUCUCUCCCUUUUUCAUCAGAUUUUUUUCUCCUUGUAAUCUAAUCUUAUUUUUCUAAUAUUUUCAUUCUAUUUCUUCCCUAUUUGUCUCUUUUACUUUUUUCUUUUUGGAAGGUUAUUAGAAAAAGAGGACCACUAAAUAAUUCCGUCGACGUCCAGCAAUAGGGUUUUCCAAUUUUUUCACAGAUGGAUCCAUGUUUCCAAAGUUCUUUUGUUUUUUUUUCUGAUCUGAUAGUUGGUUCUUUAACUAGUUGAAUUAUCUGGUUUUCCGGGGAAAUCGGGUCAAUCCUCAGUUUUGUUCAUUCUCCUCAACCGCUAACUCAGUAUUGAUCAAAUGAUCGGUUCACAGUCGGACCGGCCGGGCUGAUAUGGUUUUGCUAACAUUGAUCUUAGUAGAGCCGACUAGAGGCCAUUCCAACCGAGCCACAAUGGCCUCAUACGAAAAACUCCUAGUUACCCUGAGUUCUUGAUAAUAAAUAAGAAUUGGAGUGCUUGUGCUAUGAUAUCACACUCCAAUUAGUGAAACUCAUUAAGCAUACACACAUUCCUUUCUUUCCAUCAGAAUCACAUAAGCAUUACCCAUCUUUCCAACUCCAAAUUCAAAACUUUGCGGUUGCUAAGUGAGAACCAAUCGCAUCAGUCAUUAGAAUCAUCAAAAUCAACCAGUGAUCAUGUUUAGAGUUACCUCAAAUCCGCCAAGUCCAUUGGCAAUCUCGGAAAUAGUGAAUUUGCAGGCAACCUGCAAAAUGGGCAUAUAUCACCAUGUCGAGGAUUAUGCUUAUACAUAUUAUACCUGUAGGUAAAAUUUACGAUGAAAUUUUCAUAAGAACUGCUCACCUUCGACGGAAUCUACAAUGACCAAGAACAAUUCCAAACAUCCGAGUUGCAAUUUGGAUUAAGACCCACUAAAAGAAAACCGUGUCCAUUAUUACGGAUAAAACCGGCCGUUGUCACUGAUAUUUCCAUGUCCCUGCCUCGUUGUCGCGGGAAAAUCAUCCGCGACAACGGGCGCCUUCAUAAUGAGGGGUGNNNNNNNNNNNNNNNNNNNNNNNNNNNNNNNNNNNNNNNNNNNNNNNNNNNNNNNNNNNNNNNNNNNNNNNNACGGCCGCCUUCAUAAUGAGGGUUGUGGGGACUAAACUAUCCGCGAAAAAUAGGGUUGGCGCGAACCCGUUAUGACCGGUUUGGUUCAAAUAGUUAGGUUGAAAGGCAUUUUAACAAGUUUAUCCGCAAAAACGGCAAGAGAUAUCCGCGACAAUGGCUAACAACAUUUGUUUUGCCGUCAUAACGGUUCCCCUAACGACGUUGAGUUUAUCCACGGCCAAGGUUGACAUUGUUAGUUUCUCCAUCCUACCCGUAAUGGUUGUUGUGCCAAAUACUAGGCCAUAAUAUCUGCGACAACAGCUCAAGUACUGCCUAAAAUUUUGUUAUUUUUGCUUGUUUCGUCCACUGUGGGCGCCUAAAAUAAAAGUUUAUAUAUGCACUAUUCUACACAUAACACAAUAUAUACCAAUAUCAUUAGCAUAACGAUAACACAUAUGAUCAUCCAAGAGUUAAUACUAUAACAUAAUCCAUAGAUCUACUCCAACAUAAUUCCUUGAUUUUUUACCUAACUAAAGUCAUUAGUUCACUAGACUACAUCACUAUCAACCUAGAUAUAACUACACUAGAGACUCGUCAUCCUCAUCCUCGUCAUUAUGACCAAGAUCCUUAUUAGCUCAAGUAUACAAAAGAAGAUAUAUAAAAUUGAAAUUAGGUUAAAACACAUAAAAUUAAGUAACAUGAACUUUAUAACAUAUAAAGAUUACUAAUAAUUUACCCGCCACAUCGUAGUCGUAGUUCUGUUGGAUGUGGUUAUAUUAUAUUAACCGCUACAAUCGUCGUUACGGAUCAUUAUCCGUGUCCGACGAUGACCUAACCGUGACACCCGUUAUCGCGGAUAUUAUCCCCCAUAACUAAUCUACGUCAGACAUCAAAUUUUGUUGUAGUGGCCAAGCUAUUCUUUAAAGCUAGUCAGCCAGUUUUAAUACCCCUAUUUUUUCGAAUAAACAGCUUUACUACUUGAAAUCCAAAUAAGCAUUCCGAUUCUUGAACAUCGCAAUGAAUAAUUUGCACGAUAGAAGUUGAUAUAGUUGACCAAAAACAGCUUUCAAUAAGAGCAGUAUUCUACUGAUAAGUCGUUCGAUUAACCAACUCACGAACUGUAGCAUCAACAUCAAACCUCAUCGGCGUAGAGGUCACAAAAUUACCGGGUACUAACGGAAGCCAUCCGUCUCCCCAAAUUCUAACGGACAUACAAUUUCCCACCCACCACCCAAGGCCACUCCAUACAAAACAUUGAGCACCAAAAAGGCUAUGCCAUAUAAAGCUAAACCCAACUCAGCUUUAAAGACAUAAUAGAAUUUUUAAAAUACUUAGCUUUCAUAAUUCUUACAAUAAGGGAAGAUGCUCUUGAGUGUAAGUUCCAAAGAUGUUUAGCAAGUAAAGUAAUGUUAAAGCCUAAAAAAUCACAUAAUCCCAUCCUAGCUUCGGAUUUCAAACUCAAUAGAUAUUCUUGACAAAAUGAGGGAUGAGCACUGGGUCGGGUCACCCAUCAAAACCCACCCGCCUAUAAUCACUCUCUACCACUACUACCCUUUUCCCCAUCACCAUAAAACUUUGCAUGCUUGUUUGUGUGUUUUUGUAGUUUUUUUGUGUGUUUUAUGUCGCUUUUCAUCGUUUGAGUAGAGAGAGAGAGGGAGAGAGAGAGGGAGAGAGAGAGAGGGAGAGAGAGUAUUUCAAGGGUUGCAUGUCAUACCAAUGAUUAAGAAUGCAUGAUAGAAGGUCUCGAUUCAAAUUAGGGUUCGGUCGGUGUCUGAUCGAAGGACGAAUGAUGCUUGCAUUAUUUUAUUUUUACUGAAAAAUUGGGCUUCUGGAGCAGCCUUUAGAUCAAUCUCAAGGUGUGUGGCUUUGCAUAGUGUGUGUCGUUUCCUUAAGUUUCUCUCGAUAGAAAAUCGAGUUUAUGGCGUGUGAUCCCACAUGCCAUGUGACUGAUUUUUGACAAAACGAACCGACCAAAGAACAACCAAAAACCCAACCGGCUCAAACCGUAAUGAACCAGAUUGAUUUUCAAACCGAUUUUCAACCAAAUCAAACUGAGUUUGACCAGACGCAUUGACCCUUCGUUGACCGGCCGUUGCCCCCGUUGACCGGUCACCAUGGAAGAAAAAACAUGGCAGUUUAGUAGUAUUUUGGGCAUAACAUUUUGCUCGGGAGUCUGAUUGACACAAGGUCAGUGACGUUGGAAACUUGUUCAGUUGCCUACAACUUUGAUGUCAUGAUGUGGCCUAAAUCCAUGCAGUUUGUGCUCAUUUUUCUUGGUUUGGAUUGAUGGAAUUUGAGAAAGUUUGAAUUGUGGUCUUGUUUGGUUUGAUGAUUUGGUGCGAUCGUGAUCAAUUUCUUGAUAGUAUUAUAGUGAUAUGUUCAUUGCAAAUGCUAACGUUUGGGAUGGUUGUCCAAAAUGGAUAAUUCUAGCUUUGCAAUGUGAAGAUUGCUGGAUGUUGAGACGUGAUCACUUUGUCACUCUUGUAUCGAUGGCAUGUUGUUGAUUUUCAUGAGAACUUGGAAUGGCAUCAUGAUGCUUCAAAGUGUGGUUGAACGUAGGUUGUUACUAGGCCUGAGAGUCGGUUAAUUUGGUUACUAACCAUCUGCUUAAUGUUCGGGGAAAAUGAUUUGGAGAUUAAAGUUGGUUAAUCGGUUUAACUGACCGACCAUAUGUAAUGGUUAAAAAGCCGACCAAUAACUGAUAAAUCGGUUAAAUAACCAAUUAUUAACCAACAGAUUAGUCGGUUAAUCCUAUGAACUGACUUUGAUUGAUUGACCGACUAUACCGACUUAACCUAACAAGAUCUGAAUCUCCAUGCUCAUCUCUGCCAUCGAGUGAGCCACGUUCUGCUCAUGAUAACCGUUCGUCCAAGCAUUCAUACUCUACUAAGAAAGCUUGCCAUGGCCGCCACUCUGAACACCGGUCAAAGAACUGAAUACUUGUUCCAAGAUCCGAACUUCCAGAACCGUCUCCAAUCCAUCUUCCCAAUUGUAGUUUGGACAAAGUUUCCUCAUCUGAAUUUUUACUCAAUCACACAACUACAACCUACACGACAACCAUAAUCAAUAGAGUGGAGGGGGAUAGGAUGAAACAGAGGACUGGUUGAAAUUAUAUGGGCCUAUGUUGCAUCCUCAAUAGCUCGUCGUCGCCAAGCCUCACUGAGCCGUCCCCGAGAGAGGAAGAGACGUAGAGUCUAGAGAUCGUGCUUUACUAGUGCUCAACACUCAUGGAGCCGUCACUGAGAGAGGAACAUAAUCCCUAAUGAAUCGUGAAAUCGAGAAUGAACGGGGAUAAGUGAAUAUGUUUGUGUGUGUGUGAGUUUGACCUAAAAAUGGGGGGAUUGGGAAUACGACGUAGACAUUUGGGUUCAGACUUGGGGUUCUUUUGACCGAUUAAUGUUGGUUAACACAAGUUAACUGACGGGUUUUAACCGAUUCACCGUUUAACUGAAGUCAGUUUUUCUCUUUGACCGUCCCCCAACCAACCUGUAGCUCGAUUAAACCUUCCUCUAACUUAUUCGGUCGGUUAAUCAAUUUUAAACGAUUAACCGAAACUGAAUUCCUACCCUUAGUUGUUACUAGGUGCUUUUGUUGCUCCCAAUUGAUGAUUUGUGAUUAUUUCCAUGCUCAUUUAAUUUGCUUCCAUUGCUCAUAUUUUGUCCUACCAUUACCCUUGAUGACUCAUUGGUUACUCACUGUUUUGGUAAAUGGUUCAAAGAAGCAUGAGGCAUAUUACUAGUCCAUUUGUUCCUGUAAUGAUAUAUCUUUGACCUCACCUUUUGGUAUAACUUGAAUGAUGCAUACGUUGUCACUUCAUGCUUUGCAUACACUCUUUAUGCUCGUUCUUGUUCAUUGGACUUGGUCAACAUUUGUGAGGAUUUCUUUGUGGCAAUUGAUGAUAAAUGAGUUAAGGUGGUCCCAUAGCUUUUGCUUACCCUUGUCUUACUAAUUUAUGAAUUAUAGGAUGCUCUUGUUUAGGAUUGCUAGUUAGUCUUGCUUGAGAAUAACUAGUUAUCUUCUUCAUUGGUUUUGCCUUUCUUUUACAUCUUGCCUAUGCCAUGUCUACUUAUGAGCUAUUUAUUGCCUAUCGUUGCCUAAUUCGAUUGGAUGCUUAUUGAGGUGGUUCCUUAGUGGCCGUAGGAUUAUGGGUUGACACCUCUACAUGCUUGAUGUGUAUGAUUAUUCUCCAUUUCGAAAUUUUCAAUGAUACUUUAAAGUCAAAUUUGAAUGCUCUUUACAAAUGUGUCAAUUUUGGCACAGUUUUCAAGGAUUCAUCAUUUAGUGUUUAUAAUUCAUUUUCGUUUUAAAUUUUCGUUUCCCACAUUUACUUUUCAUGUUUUGUUGCUUUUAUUGUUUUAAAUUUUAUUAUUUUUAUUUUAAUAGGCUUACUUUCCUUGUAUAUCCCCAAUUGUAACUUGGUAUCCGUAUUCUCAACUAAAUCAACAAAUGACACCAAAUAACUUAAAAUUGAGAACUAUAAGAGCUCAAAAGAAGGAGAUUUAGCAGAGUCUCUUAUAGGUUUCAAAAAAGCGAGGAAGGAUCUUCAAGUGGAGAGGACCCUUUCUCCUCCCUAACUCCAAUGGCGAACAAAACUCUAGCAUUAGACCACCUAAAGUCAGACGAUAAGCCAUGCAUUCAUCUCGUGGACUUUAUCUUCUAUUGCGACACCAUCAAGCUACACGGUGUUUCUGUUGAGGUUCACAUCGUGUUCCCCUUGAGUUUCAGCAACCAUCCACUCCAAGCACCUUAAAUCAUCCGUCUUAGUUUCUGCUUGUCCCCAAACACCGUACAUCGCAUGUACUUCGUGAUUUUUCCAUUCUUUGAGGCAUUUAGCUCCUCCUUGUACAUCAUACAGUUAUGAAUAAUGCCUCGACGUUGUUGUGUGCCUGAAAUUGAUAAAAAACACAACGCAACAACAUCAAAUGGACCCCAAACGGGUAUGAGACACUAAAUCGAGAUAGAAGUUACAAAUGCACAAAACAUCAUGUCGUGAAUGUUUCGAUCCGCGACACCGAUGGCUUGAAAUAUUUCAGAGUCGCCACCAAUCUGUUGAAGCGGAUUGGACGCUGUCGACAUAACCCAGGUCCUUUUGGACGUGAGUUAGAACAGGUCUGCGGAACAGAGAUCCUGGAUUCGAGAGGCGGUUACGUGCAGGGAAGGAUUAGCACCCCCAUAGCGCCCGUCAAACCGGUACUACUAAAUUUGAUAAGUUAUGUUUUAUUUUCUUAGUUUAGUGGUUUAAUUAUGCUUUAGUUUGGACGCAUAAGGUUAUGUAAAUUUUUUAGAGAAUAUUUUUAUUCAAUUGUAAGUCUUUAUGAGUUCCCACUCUUGUGGAAAUUUUUUUUUAUGUUGAUAAAUAUUUUGAGUUGAACAUUCUUAAUUUAAUUGUUUGGAUUUACGAAUUCCCAUUCUUGUGGAAAUUUUGUUUUACGCUGGUGAAUAUUUUUAAGUUGGUUAUUUUUAAUUUAUAUGUUUGGACUCAAGUCUUACGACUGCCUACGUACCUAAUUCUUUGGGAUCAAAGAUCAUGUAGUUCGUUAUGGAAAAGUUGAUUUGAGGAUUUUUUGUAAUUUUUACUAUUAUAAAAACCACGUUAUCAUGCUCAUUUUUUAUUUGAAAGACAUUUAUUUGGUUAUUUCAAAGUUGGAACUUUAUUUGCCCACUUAUGAUUAAAUGAUAAUUCUACAAAAUUCGAAACUCUUGUCACGGAUACGAAAUUCAUAUAACAUUGCUAUAAUAUCUUUAAAGGAUUAUUAUUAAGGAAAUUUCACAUUUUUUGCCAAUCGAAAAAUUAAUUGGUUUAUAUCAGUUAACUUAAUUUGACAUAAUUAAAAAUGCAUUACAAGACGGUUAACGAACUUACAUUUAAAUAAAUAUGUCACAAGUAUUUUUGGUGAUUUGACAAUUCUAUUGUGGUUAUGUUAAUGUUAAUUAAAAUGAUACGUUGAUUUGAAUAAUUGUAAAGUUUUGAGUUUUUAAGUUUACAACUUUAAGGUAUAAAUAUCAAAUAGGAUUAAAGAAGGUAUGACGUUUAUUCUGUUAUUCUUCCACACUUAUUUCACUUUUAUUCCACUCUUAAUAUGGCCUUAAUGAUAUAUGAAUAUAAUUGAAUCGACUAAAGGCUUGGCCUUUCUAAAUUAAUUGUGCCCAAGCUCGAGCUCGGCCCAACCGAACGAUGAGCCGAACCGGCGGGUAAGAGGAGGGCAGCCCGCGUGCCAAACUGGUCGAACCGGUUAUCCACGGUUCGAUCAGAAAACUCAAAAAGAUGAAAUUGCCCCUAGCGUUCCGUGCGCUGAAGAAGGGUGGCAGGGGAAAUUUUGUAACUUCACCUUAAACCUAAUCGGCCUUAUAAAAGGGCCUCUUAAAUCGAGAAAUGACUCAUUUGCAACUUCCCACUCUCUCUUUAUCAUCCCUCUUUCUAAACCGCCGCCCUUCUCCCCCCCCCCCCCCCCCCCCCCCCCACCCACCUUUAUCACGGAGUGUGCUGUUUUUUUCUAGUUCCUUUCUCUUCUUCUCAGCCGCCCUUUUUUGCCUCCUCUUACCUCUCAGGACCCCUCUUUCUACCUCCGUUUUUUCGAUUUUUCCAGAUUUGGACUUGCAUGUCAUCGGAGGAUACUCCGGUGAGUCCUCCGGCAAAAUGCAAGUCUCGAUCUGUAGAUCUAAUGUUUUAUUUUGGUAUUAAACAAUUUUGGUUAUUUGAGGGUGGUACCGACGGGGGUGGCGGGGAGGUAGAGAAAUGGAAAAAAGAGAAAGUUAGGUAAGUAAGAUUUCUUCCCUAUUCCUUUUGAUUAAUGUCUGGUUAAUUGCUAACGAAGCUAACUACCGGUUUCUUUGAUGACUUUUUUUAUGUCUUUGAAAAUGGGCAUAGUCGACAUGUUUUGGAAAAUGAGAGGAAAAGGAGAAGAUUGCUUUUAGGAGGUAAGACAGCUAAUUUUGAACCCAUUCUAAUUUUUCUAGGUAGAAGUAACAAUUCUAUUUGUUGAUAAGUUGCAUAAGAAACUAGGUUUGUUUUGUUACUGAAGUUGUAGUAGUAGUCUAGGUGUUUUAAAAAGUUUUGUUUGAAAAACUUUAUUUUUUUUACUAUUGUUUAAAUUUUUUUAGCAACAUUGUUUAUUCCAAAAAUCCGUAUUUUAACUCGAUUUUACUAUGAGUUUCAUAGUUCUUUAGGUCUUUGGUGCGAAAAUGAUGAAAGAUGGCUAUAGGUUUCGUUGUUAAUACUUUCCAAUAACUUUUAGUUCAUUUUUGAAGCUUAUUUGAUUGAUUUGUUGGUUGUUUAUUAAAAUGAAUCAUUUAUUUGAUUAGUUGCAACGAAUCAUUGGGUUCAAUAGUAGUUUAGAAGGUUGCUAAGUGAUAUAGCAUAACAAUGUAUAUGUAUGAAUGAUGUGUGAAUGCUUCAGAAUAGGGAUGUUUUGAAUGAUUACCUUCAUUCAAAAUUUCUCUUUUAUCGUAUUUCAGGUGGCGGCGCCUAUCGUGAGUGACGUCAAACCGAUUUGGCGGCUUCUAUGUGUAUGGCGACAAAAGAUGUUGUAAAACUUAUUUUUUUACAGUUUU